rnacentral:rRNA from 1 species
UACGAAGGGGGCUAGCGUUGUUCGGAUUUACUGGGCGUAAAGCGCACGUAGGCGGAUCGUUAAGUCAGGGGUGAAAUCCUGGAGCUCAACUCCAGAACUGCCUUUGAUACUGGCGAUCUUGAGUCCGGAAGAGGUGAGUGGAACUCCUAGUGUAGAGGUGGAAUUCGUAGAUAUUAGGAAGAACACCAGUGGCGAAGGCGGCUCACUGGUCCGGUACUGACGCUGAGGUGCGGAAAGCGUGGGGAGCAAACAGGG